CGACACCAGAAAAAAAGUCUUAAAUGGCAUUAUUAUGUGAAUUAGAAUCAUAUUUUGAGACGAUUCGACCAUAUACAACAAUUUAGCAAAGCGCAGAUGACGAGAAAUUAGUCUUUUAAUCUGCCGGUUAGCCACGCCUACAAUUAUAGGGCUUUAGCGUCCCCAACAGGUGGAUGACGUCAGCGGUAGACUAGGCUCAUCGGUUUUACUAUUCAGCCCAUUGAGGGGGAAUUUUUCAGAACGAGGAAAAUGAGACGAAGAGAGCUGCAAAAUGUCAUUGUUUCAGUCUCUCUACUCCCAAUAUUUUUACAGGAUAUUCUUUUUAUCCAAGUAUUUUCCCCAAUAGCUAUAUAAAUGGCUUGAGAAGGACCAGUCAGCCCGUCGAGGGGGAACUAUUCACAAUGAGGAAAACGCGACGAAGAGAGCGGCAAAAUGUCAUUGUUUCUGUCUCUUUACUUCAAUAUUUUUACAGGAUAUUCUUUUUAUCCAAGUAUUUUUCCCCAAUAGCUAUAUAAAUGGCUUGAGAAGGACCAGUCAGCCCGUCGAGGGGGAACUAUUCACAAUGAGGAAAACGCAACGAAGAGAGCGGCAAAAUGUCAUUGUUUCUGUCUCUUUACUUCAAUAUUUUUACAGGAUAUUCUUUUUACCCAAGUACUUUCCCCAAUUGCUAAAUAAAUGGCAUGGUCAUGACAAAUAACUUGUGCUAAAUGGAAUAUAAAAUAAUAAAAAUCCAUUUAUUCAAGACGACAUGGCAAAAUUACUCCAUAAUGGUCAAAACAGUCGACUUUACCUUUACUGUCACACCUGCCGAACGAUAUUUUAUGACACCUAAAUCGGACAUAUGUCAUUUCCCUUCCCCGGCUUCGGAGAAUGUAAACAGACCAGAAGGAGUGACAGCUAGCCGACAUGCUAACCCGAACCGAGGGAUGUUUCAAAGUCUUCGAAGUGGAAAAUCACACAUAACUAGCCUGGAUUAUUUGACAUGACGACCCGGUUGUCGAGUUUCUUUGCGGAUCGGCAAACCGCCCGGCGGAGAGCAAUUUACAGUUCGUUCCCUGGAGGAGGGUGGCUGGAAUUGUUGUGUAGCUAACGCGCUAACAGCUAACUGCUAAUGAGCGUGAGGAUAGCUUUUUACAUGCCUAUCAAUGAUCAAACGAAUGACAAAAAGUUGCUGUGUUGCGGGUUGUCACACAAGGAAGAGUUCGGAGCCGCAUUUGAAGUUCUUUAUUUUUCCUCGUAAGAGGAAGAGAAACAAAUGGCUUUGUUUCUGGUUUGCAGCCGACAUUUUAUUACUGGCGUCUUGGUGAGCGUCAGCUUGACUGUACGACAAUGUGAGUUGUCGCCUUCACAUACACCGCAUUUGUCCUCUUCCUUGUACGAGCCCACCUCCUUGUCGCACCCAACGUGCUGGCGAGAGCAUAAUUAGAGGUCGUUAGGUCAUGAGAAUACAGUCUAGACAGCGGUACGGUGACGCCGUGUGAAAAAACAUCAUCAAUGAUGGCGCACGGCUCAAGUCAAAAUAGCCCAGCAGGUGUCAACCUUGAAAGUGCAGACCAAAAUAAUAAACCCGGCGGUGGUGGUGAUUGGAAGACAUGGAAGAGCUGGUGUUUUUUUGUAAAUGAAGAAAAAACUCUGAUAAUGCUCU